GACAGAGGUGCCGAGCGUUAGGCGGAAUCACUGGGCUUAAAGCGUGUGUAGGCGGCUGGGUAAGUACCUUGUGAAAUCCCACGGCUCAACCGUGGAACUGCUCGGUAUACUGGUCGUCUUGAGCCAACUAGGGGCGACCGGAACAAACGGUGGAGCGGUGAAAUGCGUAGAGAUCGGAAAGAACACCAACGGCGAAAGCACUCUGCUGGGCCGACACUGACACUGAGAGACGAAAGCUAGGGGAGCGAAUGGG
rnacentral:rRNA from 1 species